rnacentral:rRNA from 1 species
GAUGAACGCUAGCGGCAGGCCUAACACAUGCAAGUCGAGGGGUAGAGUUAGCUUGCUAACUUGAGACCGGCGCACGGGUGCGUAACGCGUAUGCAAUCUACCUUGUACAGAGGGAUAGCCCAGAGAAAUUUGGAUUAAUACCUCAUAGUAUCUUUACCUGGCAUCGGGUAAUUAUUAAAGUUCCAACGGUACAAGAUGAGCAUGCGUCCCAUUAGUUAGUUGGUAAGGUAACGGCUUACCAAGACAAUGAUGGGUAGGGGUCCUGAGAGGGAGAUCCCCCCACACUGGUACUGAGACACGGACCAGACUCCUACGGGAGGCAGCAGUGAGGAAUAUUGGUCAAUGGACGCAAGUCUGAACCAGCCAUGCCGCGUGCAGGAAGACGGUCCUAUGGAUUGUAAACUGCUUUUUGUACGGGAAGAAACACCCCCUCGUGAGGGGGCUUGACGGUACCGUAAGAAUAAGGAUCGGCUAACUCCGUGCCAGCAGCCGCGGUAAAGUCAGUG